rnacentral:misc_RNA from 1 species
GAUGAAGAACGUAGCGAAAUGCGAUAAGUAAUGUGAAUUGCAGAAUUCAGUGAAUCAUCGAAUCUUUGAACGCACAUUGCGCCCGCCAGCAUUCUGGCGGGCAUGCCUGUUCGAGCGUCAUUUCAACCCUCGAGCCCCCCCGGGGUCCUCGGUGUUGGGGGACGGCACACCAGCCGCCCCCGAAAUGCAGUGGCGACCCCGCCGCAGCCUCCCCUGCGUAGUAGCACACACCUCGCACCGGAGCGCGGAGGCGGUCACGCCGUAAAACGCCCAACUUUCUUAGAGUUGACCUCGGAUCAGGUAGGAAUACCCGCUGAACUUAAGCAUAUCAAUAAGCGGAGGA